rnacentral:rRNA from 1 species
AACGAACGCUGGCGGCAUGCCUAACACAUGCAAGUCGAACGAGACCUUCGGGUCUAGUGGCGCACGGGUGCGUAACACGUGGGAAUCUGCCCUUUGCUUCGGAAUAACAGUUAGAAAUGACUGCUAAUACCGGAUGAUGUCGAAAGACCAAAGAUUUAUCGGCAAAGGAUGAGCCCGCGUAGGAUUAGGUAGUUGGUGGGGUAAAGGCCUACCAAGCCGACGAUCCUUAGCUGGUCUGAGAGGAUGAUCAGCCACACUGGGACUGAGACACGGCCCAGACUCCUACGGGAGGCAGCAGUGGGGAAUAUUGGACAAUGGGCGAAAGCCUGAUCCAGCAAUGCCGCGUGAGUGAUGAAGGCCUUAGGUUGUAAAGCUCUUUUACCAGGGAUGAUAAUGACAGUACCUGGAGAAUAAGCUCCGGCUAACUCCGUG